AGAGACAGCAGCUGAGAAGUUGAGAGCUGGCGUCAUUAGAACAGGCUGGGAAAUAUGAGUGUGAGGCAUGUCUCGGCAGGAAGGUCCAGCAUUGGCCGGGGAACAAAGCAGACUUCUUGGCAUGCCCUCUCGCUGAGGCUAUGUGAACUGCUGGGCAGGCCGGCCUGCUUAAAGAUCUCACUCCGGACAAGUAAACACCAAUACCACCAACCUGAGUAGGCCUUCCAUGAAAUACUGGGGACACUAAGAAGCCACACCCCCUGAAACAUUCUAUGGUCAUUCAGCAUUUGAAGCAAAUUGGAAAGGUGAAAAACCUGAUAAGUGGGUGCCUCAUGAGCUCACCGAAAAUUUUUUUAAAAAUUGUCGUUUUGAAGUGUCAUCUUCUCUUAUUCUAUGCAACAACAAUGAACCAUUUCUUGAUUGGAUUGUGAUGUGCGAGGAAAAGUGGAUUUUAUAUGACAACUGGCGAUGACCAGCUCAGUGGUUGGACCGAGAAGAAGCUCCAAAACACUUCCCAAAGCCAAACUUGCACCAAAAAAGGUCCUGGUCACUGCUUGGUGGGCUGCUGCUGGUCUGAUCCACUGCAGCUUUCUGAAUCCCUGGGAAACCAUUACACCUGAGAAGUAUGCUCAGCAAACCAAUGAGAUGCACCAAAAACUGCAAUGCCUGCAGCUGGCUUUGGUCAACAGGAAGGGCCCAAUUCUUCUCCACCACAAUGUCCGACUGCACAUCACAACCCACGCUUCAGAAGUUGAACAAAUUGGGCUACGAAGUUUUGCCUCAUCUCCCAUGUUCACCUGACCUCUCGCUGAGAAGUAGCUUUGGAGCUUCUUCUCGGUCCAAACACUGAGCUGGUCAUCGCCGGUUGUCAUAUAAAAUCCACUUUUCCUCGCACAUCACAAUCCAAUCAAGAAAUGGUUCAUUGUUGUUGCAUAGAAUAAGAGAAGAUGACACUUCAAAACUACCACUUCUUCAAGCAUCUCAACAACUUUUUGCAGGGAAAAUGCUUCCACAACCAGCAGGAUGCAGAAAAUGCUCUCCAAAAGUUUGUCAAAUCCUGAAGCAUGGAUUUUUAGGCUACAGGAAUAAACGUAUUUCUCACUGGCAGAAAUUUAUUGAUUGUAAUGAUUCCUUUUUUGGUUAAAGACAUGUUUGAGCCUAGUUAUAACGACUUACAAUUCACGGUCCAAAACUGCAAGUACUUUUUGCACCAGCGAGAUGUGCAUAUGAGAAGCUUAUUUCACCAAGCCUCUUAUCUAGUCAUCUGUAUAAUUAUUUCAAGCACAGGAGGGACCCUACUUCUUACUGGGGAGGAUUAAGGAAGGCUUCCUGGAGGAUUGUCUCAGAGCUUGCUGCAGGUGCAUAUUGAAAAGCAAUUCAUUACAAUUUUCUAUAAGAGACUGUGGCUGAACAAUGAUACACAGAUUAGCAAACUGAGGCUUGGAGAAGUGGAAAACUUGCCUAAGAUUAAACAGCAUUAAAGGAACAGAGGCUGGGCUUGCAACUCAGCUCUGGGACUCCAAAGUCUGCCCUUUCCAACUACAUCGUCUUGCUGAUCGCGAGCUCAGUUGAUGGUAAAGACCUGUG
rnacentral:lncRNA from 1 species